GGGAAGUUGGCUCAGUGGUAGAGUGCUUGCCUUGCAUGCAUGAGGCCCUGGGUUCGAUUCCUCAGUACCA
rfam:Dipodomys ordii contig_16910, whole genome shotgun sequence.